GUAAUUCCAGAUGCCAGUGUGUAUGCUGGGGAGCUUCAGUGCCUGUGAUGUGGCUGUGGCUGUGCCAUUUUGAUAAUACUUUUCAGGAUCAAUGCCAAUUUGAUAAGAAAAGUUGAUGAUAAGAAUUAAACUCUUGUGAAUGUUUUUUCUGAUUUUUCAAGAUUUCUGAAGGAAUGUUAGGCAGCAUUAAACUAUAUCUGAACUUUUAGAAGCUCUUGCAGCAAGAUAAGCUAUUUCAUCAGCUAUAUAGACUAGUAAUCCCAAAUAAACAGCAAUUAUUUGUAUUGAAAAAACUACAAUUUGCAAUUCCAUGGAGCAACAAUUCCCUGUUUUAGGAAAAACAACAUAUGAUGAUCCAGGAAGGCCACCAACAGCAAGCAAUAUUUUCUUUCAUCAGGCUGCUCUGCUCAGUCUCAACCGAUCCAUGCGAAUGUAAACUUAUAUUAAAGGGUAUUGAACUGGAAUUGGAGUGGAAACAUGAAUCCCGUAAUCUAAUGUAAACAAAUCGAACUCUUUUAUCCACCAACAACAGAUCAGAUCUGCAAAUAAUCAUGAUCAACCCACCAAUUAAAGAUUCCAAUUGCUUGAUA
rnacentral:misc_RNA from 1 species